GUGUUCUGUUCGGUAACCUGCAUGCUGUUCGAGCAAGUCACGACGCGUUCAAUUGAAAAAGUUCAUAAUUUUCUCGAGGAUUUACUAAGAUUCUUCAAGUGUCCAUAGUCUGUUAGUGUUACAUUGUUGAAAACACAAUGCAUUCUCUUCCUGUUCAACAGUAAGUGAAAACUCCCGGAGACAAAACCUAAAGUGCAAAACAGAGCUUCAGAGAACGUAAUCUUCUGUUGCGCAUUUCACCCGAAACAGCCUAAAAACAUUCAUCAAUUCAAGUUGGUUCUGUGAAAGAAGUUCAACACGGUGAUCAUGAGGGAGCCGGAAAAAUGCAGCUCGGUUAUUCUGGAACAUCUGCAAGAAUCAACUCAUUGUGCAUUAUGGAUUUUGCGUGAUUGAAGCGGUUUAAUCAAUGUCGGGCACCAAGAAAUGAUUUAAUAAAGCUGCAGCGAAGAACAGCAAUUUAGAGUAGAUCCAUAUAUCCGUAGUAGAUCUUUAUGAAAUAAAUGAAUAUGAUGAUAAUUAAUACGAAA